AGCUCGUUCUAGUGUUUGUGGAUUUACUUCAUGGUUUGGUUUAUCUGCCUGACUUCUUUGGACUUGACUCUGCCUGCUCCCCGUCGUAUCUGUUUGCCUGUGUUGGGACUUAUUCCCCGGUUUGACCUCUGCCUUUCCUCACCAUUAAAAUCCCCGAACUGCACCUGCUCCGCCUCGGUGUCUGCGUUUGGGUUCGGCCCCGUGUGUUCCCCGGUUUCCUGCUUGACUAAACGCAACAGGUGUUGAGUUUGGUCUCUCAUGUGGUUCAUUCAGCAUUACAAUGUUUCAAGUUAAAAGGCCAAUCAGAGAAAAACUGCAAAAUGGAAGCGACUGGAAACUAGUGAAUGAAAACAUCUGGAGCAGCAGAGUGUUCUGACGCAAACCUGUCCUGGAGCAUGGCAGUGAGGUCCUGCCCGGUUCGGUGACCAGCAGCAUCAGGAGGAUGUAGCGGCACCGGCCGGCCCUCUGGAGGGACGACACAUACAGGACAUUUGGUGGUUCUGCAUUUCGGGGGUCCCAUUUCUUUGGGUUUUCUUUCUUCUGCCAAAUGGUUUCUAGCCUCAAACCCUGAAUUCAUAAUCGCUUCACACUUCGGAGCAUGUGGAGCUCUCUGGAGUAUUAAAGUUUUUGUAAAGAGGGAGGGGGGUCACACACUGCUGCACACCAGCCUGGAGGCAGCACAAGUAACAUGUCUUUAACUGCGGUAGUCAGUGAUUUUCUAAAAAGGACACACAAUUGAAAAGACCUAAUAGCAACCUUGCAUAUUAAACAGACCCACUGUCAAAGAAGCCAUUACUAUUCAAUGAUAUGAUGGCUUAGAAAUCCACAGUAAUGGUGUCUUUUAAUUCUCUCCCCAGGCUAAUGCAUAUUUACACUUGAAUCUGAUUUUUUUUGCAGGAAAAAUUAGAAGAGGCAGUUUACUCAGAGAGAAAUUCAAUACGUAUACGGCUCAGUGCAUUUAAUCCAAAUUUGACAUGGCAGGUAAAUGAAAGAACCACUGUAAACCAGUGGAACCUGAAAUACUGCAGUUUUCGGCUGUGUCAGAAAUCACUCCCGAGUCCACUCAUUCACUUCUCCCUCCAUAAUAAACACUCGGUUUACUCUAUAGUGAGCAGAAAAAUGUUUCAAUACAAAUGUUUCAGCCUCAGUGCCUGUGAAUGCAAUGUGUUUGUCUCGACACACACCAUCACUGAGCUGCAGGUCCUCAGUCAUUACGUGAUUCGAUUAGAUGCCACAAAAGAUAAUCUGCUACUACAUCAGAUGAGUCAUCGUAAAAGUAUAACCAGCGAUGUCAUAUUUAGCAGGUGUUCAGACCCCAAACAGCCCUGCGUUGAAACAAUACAAGGGGCUGCACUGGUGAGGCCGUGUUGCUUCAGGUACCUGCGAGACACGAAAUACGAUCCAUGAAGUCCAGUUUGAGGGACAGAUCCAUGAGUUCACAUUCAGUUAUUUGUUGCAACGAUUGUGCAAGGUAAAUACUAGAAAUACGGCGUUCAUGUUGCCAGUAAUGUGACCGUGCUUGUAUUUGAUUGGCCAAUGCAACACCUUCGCCAGGUGACAUUGCGUUGUGUUCUGGCAACAGUUGAGCCUGGUUCGACUAUUUAGCCCGACGACCCUGCGUUUUUUUGCCGGAGCCCUCGCUGAGGGGAAUGAGGGCUGAAGUCGGUCUGAACGUGGCUUUAUAAUCAACUUGGAAACGAACAUAUCUUAACUCAAGGUUCACUUUUUUCAGACAGCUGAUGUCUCUUGUCCAGGGUCCUUACUGUUUUUUUUUAAACUUUUUUUGGUGGCAGACAGUAAAUGCAUGGAGCGAGGGGUAUGACACACAGUCCCCUCCGAAACAGCGAGGGUAUACUUUUGCUCACCUUAAAAUUGGGUGAUCCAUUACAAAAGGUGCUAAGUUGUUUAACAGAUCUAGAUGUAAAUACCUGGAGAUAUAAGCUGAAAUGCUGACCUCUUGUCUCAUAUUCCUCUUUGGAUGUCAAACCCAAAUGUUUUCAGCAUGCAGCCAAAAAUAAAGGACUUGGCCUCGCCGAUCCAGUAGUUUCGGAGGGGACUGUACAACAACAGUGGAUAUUUGUGGUAUCUGCCUAAACCAUCAGGACGCCCAGGGCCCUUGCCUGUUUCACAGCUGUCACAUGUGAUGUCAUGAUGAUGUCAUACGUGACUGCUUGAAGCAACCGCUCCCAAAGCUUCUGUGUCAAUUGAAAACGAUGUUGGUGGGACGGAUACAUCACUCACACUACUGACUGUGACUGGUUUGGGCAAAACAAAUGACCC